rnacentral:rRNA from 1 species
AUUGAACGCUGGCGGCAGGCUUAACACAUGCAAGUCGAGCGGAGCGGCUGACGGGUGAGUAAUGCCUAGGAAUCUUCCUGGUAGUGGGCGCUAACGUCCGGAAACGGGCGCUAAUACCGCAUACUCUCAGAUGAGCCUAGGUCGGAUUAGCUAGUUGGUGGGGUAAAGGACUACCAAGGCGACUACCCGUAACUGGUCUGAGAGGAUGAUCAGUCACACUGGAACUGAGACACGGUCCAGACUCCGACGGGAGGCAGCAGUGGGGAAUAUUGGACAAUGGGCGAGAGCCUGAUCCAGCAAUGCCGCGUGUGUGAAGAAGGUCUUCGGAUUGUAAAGCACUUUAAGUUGGGAGGCGUUACCAACAGAAUAAGCACCGGCUAACUUCGUGCCAGCAGCCGCGGUAAUUC